GUGCUUGCUUCGGCAGCGCAUAAACUAAAAUUAGAACGAUACAGAGAAGAUUAGCAUGGCCACUGCACAAGGAUAACAUGCAAAUUCAUGAAGCGUUCCCUAUUUUG